GCGGAAAUGGCGGAAUUGGUAGACGCACCAGAUUUAGGUUCUGGCGCCGUAAGGUGUGAGAGUUCAAGUCUCUCCUUCCGC
rnacentral:tRNA from 1 species